CCGUGCUAGACGGGGAGCUAGCGGUGCCCUGUACCUGCAAUCCGCUCCAGCAGGGUCGACUGCCCGUGUUCGAGGAUGUUUUUCCGCUCGAAAGGAGAGCGUCUUUCCGGCGUUGAUGGCCAGGUCCCGCGCAAUGAAGGCUUGUGAACCCCGCCAGGACCGGAAGGUAGCAACGGUAAGCAACCACCUUCAUAUGGCGCGUUUCAACGUGGUCGGAGCCGGGAUGGCCUUUCUUUUUCCUGUGGAGAGCUUUCGACAGCCGGGCGCACGG
rnacentral:SRP_RNA from 7 species